ACAGUGGUCAUCUGGUGGGCU
rnacentral:miRNA from 1 species